GGCCCCUCCCAGCUGGGGUUAUAAAGCCCCAUACUCAGGGCCUGCGUGCCGGUGGCUCUGACCUGCCUUCUUCUGCGCCCUGGUCCUUCAGGCACAAUGGGACCUGGCUUCCCACCACUGCUGCUCCUUUUGCCCCCGAUGGUGCUGUUGCUGUCCCUCCCCCUCCUACUGCACUACUUGCAGCGAAGACGCCCUGCUGGGCAUCAUGAAGGACCUAGGGGACAAACUCAAGACUAUUUCCAGAAUGUAAACUUCAACAUGGGUAUGUGUUUCAACGCCCAAAUGGCUUUCAGUGAACAUGCGGUUUUCAGGGAUGGGCAAAGUGCCAUCCAGACUGAAGAGAGCCAACAGAGCUCUCUGAGGACAGACGAUGAAGAUGACAGUCUCCUGUAUGGAUACCAGGACCGUGGGGACCUCUCCGUGCCCUUCUUGAGACCAAGGGCUCAAACUGGUUUUGAAUCCCACCAUGACACUGUAAACGAUUGUAGAGAGUUGGCCCUUCUUUGACCUGCUCAGUUAUUCAUUUAGCCCUUUUCUGUGCUCCUGUAGCCUCAAAGGAUGGGGCCCCCCUGCUCCAGCACUGUUCAAGCCCUGAAGCCUGCUCCUCCUCAGCUCUGGAUAUUGACAUUUGCACAGCUUCACCCACCAGAUCAAGGCUUUCUGCUUCCCAUCGCCCUUGCUGCUCUUUGCCUCUGAUUCCUGUCCCCUCCAUUUCUCUCUCUGUACCUCCAACCCUCCCUUACCCUUUUCCAUAUCUCUGUGAAUUGCUUUCCUUCCCUUUGAAGUCCCAGACCCCUACCCCUUCUCCUUAGUUCAGGAAAACAUAACUAUAUCAUUUUGCCUAACUGUCCUUGGAAUCUCAUGUUUAUGUGAAUUCCCCAUAUGUUCAUCAGUAAAUUUGAUUUUUUUCCCCCUGUUAA